UAUAUGACUCUGGAUCCUGAAUGUGAGGGCGAUCUGACUGCGACAUCUGUCACCCCAUUGAUCGCCAGGGUUGAUUUGGCUGAUCUGGCUGGCUAGGCGGGUGUCCCCCUCCUC